UCAGGCCGCCAGAUCUGGCGGUCCGGAGGCCAGAUCCGGCCGCCGGACGGCCAGAUCUGGCUGUCCGU
rnacentral:pre_miRNA from 1 species